rnacentral:rRNA from 1 species
GACGAACGCUGGCGGCGUGCUUAACACAUGCAAGUCGAGCGGUAAGGCCCUUUCGGGGGUACGACGAGCGGCGAACGGGUGAGUAACACGCGGGUGACCUGCCCUCAGCUCUGGGAUAAGCCUGGGAAACCGGGUCUAAUACUGGAUAUGACUCCAUGACGCAUGUUGUGGGGUGGAAAGCCUUGUGCGGCUGAGGAUGGGCCCGCGGCCUAUCAGCUUGUUGGUGGGGUGAUGGCCUACCAAGC